rnacentral:rRNA from 1 species
CCUACGGGAGGCAGCAGGAGGGAAUAUUGCUCAAUGGGGGAAACCCGGAAGCAGCAACGCCGCGUGGAGGAUGAAGGUGUUCGGAGUGUAAACUCCUGUUGUUAGAGAAGAGAAUGACGGUAUCUAACGAAUAAGCACCGGCUAACUCCGUGCCAGCAGCCGCGGUAAUACGGAGGGUGCAAGCGUUACUCGGAAUCACUGGGCGUAAAGAGCGCGUAGGCGGGAUAGCACGUCAGAUGUGAAAUCCUAUGGCUUAACCAUAGAACUGCAUUUGAAACUGUUAUUCUAGAGUAUGGGAGAGGUAGGUGGCAUUCUUGGUGUCGUGGUCAACUCCGUCGAGCUCCAGCGGACUACUCAUUGCGAAGGCGACCUGCUAGAACAUAACUGCCGCUGAUGCGC